GUUUCAUGAUGGAUCCAACAUCAGGAAAGAAAGUUUGCUAUGUGCAGUUUCCUCAAAGAUUUGAUGGUAUUGAUCGUCAUGAUAGAUACUCAAAUCGGAAUGUUGUAUUCUUCGAUAUCAACAUGAAAGGAUUAGAUGGUUUGCAAGGACCGAUAUAUGUUGGAACUGGGUGUGUUUUUCGAAGGCAGGCACUUUAUGGUUAUGAUGCACCUGUCAAGAAGAAGCCCCCUGGUAAGACCUGCAACUGUUGGCCAAAAUGGUGCUGCCUCUGCUGUGGAUCCAGAAAGAACAAGAAAUCGAAGCCAAAGAAGGAGAAGAAAAAGAAGUCGAACAGGGAAGCAUCAAAGCAGAUACACGCUCUGGAAAAUAUUGAAGAAGGAAUUGAAGAUUCAACUACUGAAAAAUCUUCAGAAACAUCCCAAAUGAAAUUGGAGAAGAAGUUUGGACAGUCUCCAGUAUUUGUAGCUUCAACGAUUUUGGAAAAUGGCGGAGUUCCUCAAGAUGCCAGUCCUGCAUCACUGUUGAGAGAAGCUAUCCAAGUUAUCAGCUGUGGUUAUGAAGAUAAAACAGAAUGGGGAAAGGAAGUUGGCUGGAUAUAUGGCUCUGUGACUGAGGAUAUCCUGACAGGAUUCAAAAUGCACUGCCAUGGAUGGCGAUCUGUGUA
rnacentral:misc_RNA from 1 species